rnacentral:rRNA from 1 species
UUAAGCAAAAAAGAGCGCAGGGUGGAUGCCUUGGCACUAAGAGCCGAAGAAAGACGUGAUAAGCUGCGAAAAGCUGCGGGGAGGAGCAAAUAUCCAUUGAGCCGCAGAUAUCUGAAUGGGGAAACCCGGCUGGACGAACUCCAGUCAUCCAUACGCCAAUCCAUAACGUAUGGAAGGGAACCCGGUGAACUGAAACAUCUAAGUAGCCGGAGGAAGAGAAAGAAACAUCGAUUCCGGAAGUAGCGGCGAGCGAACCCGGAAGAGCCCAAACCAGCGUGCGUGCAUGCUGGGGUUAAGGACUGCAUAAGUGAGCCGAUCUGUUAAUGGAACUGCCUGGGAAGGCAGGCCAGAGAGGGUGAAAGCCCCGUACAUGAAAACGGUAGGCAGCGGCAGGAUCCAGAGUACCGCGAGACACGAGAAACCUUGCGGGAAGUCGGAGGGACCACCCUCCAAGGCUAAAUACUCCUUAGUGACCGAUAGCGCAUAGUACUGUGAAGGAAAGGUGAAAAGGACCCCGGGAGGGGAGUGAAAGAGAACCUGAAACCCUGUGUUUACAAGCUGUGGAAGUUCUUUAAAUGAACAACCGCGUACUUUUUGUAGAACGGUCCGGCGAGUUGCGGAUACUGGCAAGGUUAAGCACUUAAGGUGCGGAGCCGAAGGGAUACCAAGUCUUAACAGGGCGUUAAGUCAGUAUACGCAGACCCGAAACCGGGUGAUCUAUCCAUGUCCAGGUUGAAGUUGUCGUAAAAGACAAUGGAGGACCGAAGCCACAUCCGUUGAAAAGGGUGGGCAUGAGGUGUGGAUAGGGGAGAAAUUCCAAUCGAACCCGGAGAUAGCUGGUUCUCCUCGAAAUAGCUUUAGGGCUAGCCUCGAUUUAGUCUUAUGGAGGUAGAGCACUGAAUUUCCGCGGGGGCGUCAAAGCUUACCAAAGAAUAUCAAACUCCGAAUGCCAUGUAGAUGAUGAUCGGGAGUCAGACUGCACGAGAUAAGUUGGGCAGUCAAAAGGGAAAGAGCCCAGACCACCGGCUAAGGUCCCAAAGUGCGUGUUAAGUGGAAAAGGAUGUGGGAAUUCGAAGACAACUAGGAUGUUGGCUCAGAAGCAGCCAUACAUUCAAAGAGUGCGUAACAGCUCACUAGUCGAGAGUUCCUGCGCCGAAAAUGUCCGGGGCUGAAACACGACACCGAAGCCGUGGACUCGCAAUGCGAGUGGUAGAGGAGCAUUCUUAAAACCGACGAAGCUGUACCGGAAGGAGCAGUGGAGGGAUAAGAAGAGAGAAUGCCGGAAUGAGUAGCGAGAGGAAGGUGGGAAUCCUUCCGGCCGAAUAUCUAAGGUUUCCAGAGUAAAGCUGAUCUGCUCUGGGUAAGUCGGGGCCUAAGCACAGGUCGCAAGACGUAAGCGAUGGAUAACAGGUUUAGAUUCCUGUACCACGCAUUAUCAGAACUGUAGGGACGCAUGUGGAAAGCACGAGCCGGGAAUGGAAAGACCGGUACAAGCGAGGCAGGUGUACAAUAGGCAAAUCCGUUGUAUAAUCCGAAGACGUGAUGUGGAGCGAAAUAAAGUAGUGAAGCGUGUGAGCCAUGUGCCGAGAAAAGCUGCUAUUGUGUAAUGCGUGCCCGUACCGUAAACCGACACAGGUGGAUGAGGAGAGAAUCCUAAGGCCGACGGAAGAAGCAUUGUUAAGGAAUUCGGCAAAAUGACCCCGUAACUUCGGGAGAAGGGGUGCCUGCGAGAGCAGGCCGCAGAGAAUAGGCUCAAGCAACUGUUUAGCAAAAACACAGGUCUAUGCGAAACCGAAAGGUGAAGUAUAUGGGCUGACGCCUGCCCGGUGCUGGAAGGUUAAGAGGAGAGGUUAGCGUAAGCGAAGCUUUGAAUUUAAGCCCCAGUAAACGGCGGCCGUAACUAUAACGGUCCUAAGGUAGCGAAAUUCCUUGUCGGGUAAGUUCCGACCCGCACGAAAGGCGUAAUGAUUUGGGCACUGUCUCAACAAUGCACCCGGUGAAAUUGAAAUACCAGUGAAGAUGCUGGUUACCCGCGCCAGGACGGAAAGACCCCAUGGAGCUUUACUCCAGUUUGAUACUGGGAUUCG